rnacentral:rRNA from 1 species
GCUGCCCUCUUUCUUCUUUCCUAAUACAUGCAAGUCGAGCGAACAGAUAAGGAGCUUGCCCCUUUGACGUUAGCGGCGGACGGGUGAGUAACACGUGGGUAACCUACCUAUAAGACUGGAAUAACUCCGGGAAACCGGGGCUAAUGCCGGAUAACAUUUAGAACCGCAUGGUUCUAAAGUGUAAGAUGGUUUUGCUAUCACUUAUAGAUGGACCCGCGCCGUAUUAGCUAGUUGGUAAGGUAACGGCUUACCAAGGCAACGAUACGUAGCCGACCUGAGAGGGUGAUCGGCCACACUGGAACUGAGACACGGUCCAGACUCCUACGGGAGGCAGCAGUAGGGAAUCUUCCGCAAUGGGCGAAAGCCUGACGGAGCAACGCCGCGUGAGUGAUGAAGGUCUUCGGAUCGUAAAACUCUGUUAUUAGGGAAGAACAAAUGUGUAAGUAACUGUGCACGUCUUGACGGUACCUAAUCAGAAAGCCACGGCUAACUACGUG